AACACAUGAGUGUGCUCCAAGGGGGCCAGGA
rnacentral:piRNA from 1 species